AGGAAGCUUGCUUUCUCCGCCGGCGACCGGCGCACGGGUGAGUAACACGUAUGCAACCUGCCCCUGUCAGGGGGACAACCCGCCGAAAGGCGGGCUAAACCCGCGUACAUGCCACCGGGGCAUCCCGGAGGCAGGAAAGGCUUCGGCCGGACAGGGAUGGGCAUGCGGCGCAUUAGGCAGUAGGCGGGGUAACGGCCCACCUAACCGACGAUGCGUAGGGGUUCUGAGAGGAAGGUCCCCCACACUGGUACUGAGACACGGACCAGACUCCUACGGGAGGCAGCAGUGAGGAAUAUUGGUCAAUGGUCGGGAGACUGAACCAGCCAAGCCGCGUGAGGGAGGAAGGUACAGAGUAUCGUAAACCUCUUUUGUCAGGGAACAAGGACUGGGACGCGUCCCCGGAUGAGUGUACCUGAAGAAAAAGCAUCGGCUAACUCCGUGCCAGCAGCCGCGGUAAUACGGAGGAUGCGAGCGUUAUCCGGAUUUAUUGGGUUUAAAGGGUGCGCAGGCGGUCUGUUAAGUCAGCGGUCAAAGCCCGGGGCUCAACCCCGGCCCGCCGUUGAAACUGGCAGUCUCGAGUUUGAAAGAAGUAUGCGGAAUGCGCGGUGUAGCGGUGAAAUGCAUAGAUAUCGCGCAGAACUUCGAUUGCGAAGGCAGCAUGCCGGCUCCACACUGACGCUGAGGCACGAAAGCGUGGGUAUCGAACAGGAUUAGAUACCCUGGUAGUCCACGCAGUAAACGAUGAAUGCUGGCUGUCCGGGGGGACUGACCCCUGGGGGGCGAAGCGAAAGCGAUAAGCAUUCCACCUGGGGAGUACGCCGGCAACGGUGAAACUCAAAGGAAUUGACGGGGGCCCGCACAAGCGGAGGAACAUGUGGUUUAAUUCGAUGAUACGCGAGGAACCUUACCCGGGCUCAAACGGGGAGUGGCGCAGGCAGAGACGCCUGUUUCCCACGGGACACUCCCCGAGGUGCUGCAUGGUUGUCGUCAGCUCGUGCCGUGAGGUGUCGGCUUAAGUGCCAUAACGAGCGCAACCCCCGCGUGCAGUUGCUAACAGUCAACGCUGAGGACUCUGCACGGACUGCCGGCGCAAGCCGCGAGGAAGGCGGGGAGGACGUCAAAUCAGCACGGCCCUUACGUCCGGGGCGACACACGUGUUACAAUGGGUGGUACAGCGGGAAGCCAGGCGGCGACGCCGAGCGGAACCCGAAAUCCACUCUCAGUUCGGAUCGGAGUCUGCAACCCGACUCCGUGAAGCUGGAUUCGCUA
rnacentral:rRNA from 1 species